UUAUACAAGCCUCAUCUAUCAUGUUCAACCUCAUCAUGGAAGAAAAUCAAGUCAAACAGAAAAUUUCCAGAAAUAGAAAGUGGACCUGUAAUUUCAACUGCCAAAAAUGGAAACUUCUUGAUCUUUAACUUACAUCAUGAUACAAGCUCCAAAUGAAUUUUUUCCCAACAUGAAAGUUGAAGAUCUUGUUCUCCCAUUUUCAAAAAGUCCAAGAACUCUCAAAUCCCAUGUGUGGUUGUCAAGAUAUGAUCAAUUCAAUUUCAAAAAUUUGUGAACUUCAAAGAGCCAUAACUCAUGA
rnacentral:lncRNA from 1 species